rnacentral:SRP_RNA from 2 species
UGAUGGGGACGCGCAAUGACAGGUUGCCCAACCCCGUCAGGACCGGAAGGUAGCAGCGGUAAGCGAUACUGGCUUGUGCCGCGUUACACCCGUCAUCU